GUACAGAGGAUCAAGCGUUAUCCGGAAUCAUUGGGUUUAAAGGGUCCGUAGGCGGUUUAGUAAGUCAGUGGUGAAAGCCCAUCGCUCAACGGUGGAACGGCCAUUGAUACUGCUGAACUUGAAUUAUUAGGAAGUAACUAGAAUAUGUAGUGUAGCGGUGAAAUGCUUAGAUAUUACAUGGAAUACCAAUUGCGAAGGCAGGUUACUACUAAUGGAUUGACGCUGAUGGACGAAAGCGUGGGGAGCGAACAGG
rnacentral:rRNA from 1 species